GUGGGCGGAAUUCGUGGUGUAGCGGUGAAAUGCUUAGAUAUCACGAAGAACUCCGAUUGCGAAGGCAGCCUGCUGGACUGUAACUGACGCUGAUGCUCGAAAGUGUGGGUAUCAAACAGGAUUAGAUACCCUGGUAGUCCACACAGUAAACGAUGAAUACUCGCUGUUUGCGAUAUACAGUAAGCGGCCAAGCGAAAGCAUUAAGUAUUCCACCUGGGGAGUACGCCGGCAACGGUGAAACUCAAAGGAAUUGACGGGGGCCCGCACAAGCGGAGGAACAUGUGGUUUAAUUCGAUGAUACGCGAGGAACCUUACCCGGGCUUGAAUUGCAGAUGAACGAUUUAGAGAUAAUGAGGUCCUUCGGGACAUCUGUGAAGGUGCUGCAUGGUUGUCGUCAGCUCGUGCCGUGAGGUGUCGGCUUAAGUGCCAUAACGAGCGCAACCCUUGUUGUCAGUUACUAACAGGUGAUGCUGAGGACUCUGACAAGACUGCCAUCGUAAGAUGUGAGGAAGGUGGGGAUGACGUCAAAUCAGCACGGCCCUUACGUCCGGGGCUACACACGUGUUACAAUGGCAGGGACAGAGAGACGGUCCCCUGCAAAACGGAUCAAAUCCUUAAAACCUGUCUCAGUUCGGACUGGGGGCUGCAACCCGACCCCACGAAGCUGGAUUCGCUAGUAAUCGCGCAUCAGCCAUGGCGCGGUGAAUACGUUCCCGGGCCUUGUACACACCGCCCGUCAAGCCAUGAAAGCCGGGGGCGCCUAAAGUCCGUGACCGUAAGGAGCGGCCUAGGGCGAAACUGGUAAUUGGGGCUAAGUCGUAACAAGGUAGCCGUACCGGAAGGUGCGGCUG
rnacentral:rRNA from 1 species